ensembl:lncRNA
ACAUUCCUAUCACUGUGUUGUAGCUUUCAGUCACUUUAGUAACUAUGCUGACAGUAUAUCACAUCUGAGAACCACAACACACUAGCUUUGGAAGAAAGAACUGAAAAUCUAAAUAUAUAGCAGAGUUUGACUUACGAAAUGUAAUAGUUUUGAAGUAAAAAUGUUGUAUCAUAAAAAACAUCACCCUGACAGGGUGACAGAUGAAUCAGUACUACCCAGCUCCCCAGCUCCAACAGAAGAGAUUGAACAGAUCAGACUAUGGAACAGGCACAAAUAAAAUACAAUAAAACAUCCUCCUCACAUUGGCUCACAAUGGGGAUAAAAAGAGAUGACUGUACAAAUGUUUCAGAAUCCACUAUCCAAAAAAAGUACAGUAGGAAGCAAUACUAUAAGCCACAUUGUUGCAUUUCUCCACCAUAAAGGAACAUAAAUAUGCCCCCAAAUGAAGAAUAAGAUUCUGGAAAAAAAGAUCCACCCAGAGUCCGCAUUUUUAAAGAAAAAAGUGUGCAUCAUCUUCCAGCCCCUGUGAGUCGAAGAAAAAGGUACAUGAGCAAAAAAGAGCCAUGCAAGAUAUCUGCUGCUGCCUACAGGUUAUCUAAAUGAACGCUUCCACAAAGUAUGACUGUCACUGUCCCCCAUGUCUAAAUCUUUUAAAACAAAUAAGAUCUAAGUUACAUAAGUAAAUGAUCAGAUGUCACUAAGUAAUGCUAUAUUUUUUUAGAUUGACUUUUUGUCUUUGAGAGUAAAACAUAGAAGCAUUAUAUGCACCUCCAGAUGUUGCAGUGCUGGAGAGAGGAUAUUCAUUUAUUUAUCAAACAUAAUCUGUGAGAAUAUGUGUUUUAAGUUCUCAAAUGUAUAACAUUUUCUGAAUCCAUGUUUUUCAUAGCAUUCACUGUAAUAAUUAGCUAAGAAAUAUUUGAAAAGUAAUUUUUUUCACCUCUCAAUAAACAGAAGAUAUUCACAGAGUGUUUUCUUCAAGAUGGACUGACAAAAAUAAGAAUUUUUCAUGUUCUAAUUAUUUAGUUGUUGAUGAAUGGCAUAUUCAUGGAAAUUUCCUUACUGACUGUGGUAUCAGAUCUACAGAUCUUGAUCCAGGAACUCAUUCAAAUACUUCUACUAAUCUAGUUUUCCAAUGAGAAAUACCUUUACUGGUUAUAUUUAAACUUUGGGAAAAGAAGGUUACAAUCAAGGAAGGGAAUAACUAUCAUGUUAUCAUGUUUCUAAUUUAACAGAAAUAAUGUUUGGUUGUGUAGGGAGAACUGUACUAGAGAUGCUAGACUAGCUGCUAAAGAGUGUAUGGGAAAAUGAGGGAAAUCAUAGUUGUUGCUAUCACAAAUUGUCAGUUGUGUGGUGAAUAAACACUAGUUUCAUAUUCAUGUGCGAUGGACUAUGCAGCAGACACUGUCCCUGUGGUAACAAAUGCUAGAAAAAGGUUUUCCAUGUAAGUCCAUUGAAUCACAGUUUCUUGAUUCCAGUCUUCUAACAUAUAUAACACGUGCCACAUCAUUGAGUGCAUCAUUCACUUCUUUCUUUCCAUCCUUCAGAUGUUCAGUACUAUGUACUGAAUGAUAGUUCUCCUGAUGGCCAGCCAUAAUGGGUUUAUAUUACAGUACAUAUUUUAUGUAUUAAAAUCUCUCCUGGAUUAAAAAUGACUAGAAAUUAAACACACAGGAGUAAUCCAGAUGGAAAUUGGAACACAUUUUUGUCAGUACUUUUGAAGAUAUUGAAGAGAAGUUGUGGAGAAAAAGCCUUUAUUUUCACUUCCAUCAUUUCUGCAUCCUAUGUAUAUCCUAUAUAUAUUGGAACCAACUAUCUACAGCUUCUUUGUAUGAGGUCAAUGCUAUUCCUGUAAACAUUAGAUGUUCUGUUGUUAUUUGCAAUUAAUCCAACAACAACUGCUGAAAUUUAGUCACAACUCUCCCGAGCUGAAACAAGUACCUUCCAUAAAGAUGAAAAGGAUUAGACCUAUAUUUUAUAACACAUCCACAUUUUAUGAGGAUGCAGUUGGUGUUAAGCAAUCAUCUAUUUGGUGUUGAAUUAAUUACAAUCUUAAUUAAAAGCUGCUUAAUAUAUAUGAGCCACUUGUAUUUAGCAAUUCUUAUUUUAUUGCAAAAAAAUUCCUGUCAAGAGCUGUAGUAGCAAUCACAUCAACUGACUUUGGACAUUUCUGUUUGUUUUGUUGGUUUUCUUUUGUUGUUGUUUAUUGAGAUUCAAGAGGGACUUUAUCAUGACCCAGAGUCAGAAUCAAACAUGGGAUUUCAGGAAGGUCGGUUGGCUGAGAAAUACCCAGUAAUCAUUUAUAAACCUAUUAGUGUAACAUGAAUGAAAAUGAUGUGGAGUUUGUUCAGAUCUAAUGCAUACAUUUGUAUUAGCACUGAAUGAAUCUACUUUGAAUACAACCUGUCCACUGUAUACACAAGAUAUUCUGGGUUGUUAAAUUACCUCCCAUGUUAAUAGUUUUAUAAUUAAAGUAAAUAUUGUUCAUCC